ensembl:lncRNA novel transcript
GCGCGCAUGCUCACCAGCCUUUCUCUCGGACCCGGUAGUGGUCCGUGAAGUCCGCGGAGUGGGCGCUGAUGGUGGGGCUAUCCCUUCCCACUGUCCGCGAGGUGCGCCGUGGUAACGCGCGGGGACACAGCGCGGGUGUGGACCCCCUGCCCACAGCUGGCGCACAGCCAUUGAGUGUAGACCCGACUGGGGCACGACCACUGAACCCUGCACUUGGCGUCCUCCGGGCCCCGCGAGGGGCCUUGCUGGGCGGGUCCGCGGCACCCCGGGUUCCCAGAAGUCGAGGCCCCGAAUGCGCCUCCCCUCGCCUGGAAUCGGAGAGCGGAGGGCUCCUGCGGGCAGGUGGCCGUGCUCCGAAGAGCGCCCUGCCACCCAUGAGGUGGCCCUGGGGGCGUCGCUAGCCUUCCCAGCUGGGUGUCCUCAUCCGGAGACACAAACACCUGCCUCAGGAUUAAAGCGAGGAGCUGUAUUUCAGACCGUCUCAGGAGAAAUAGCAAGAGGCUGCCUCACUCCUUUGCCCUUGUUCAAGUUUGAGGCAUUAAGAAGGAUAAGACAUCAAUUUGAAAAGAGCCCCUGUCAGAGCAACAUGACUUGAAAGCAAGAAGAAAAAACAAAAAAUGAAGCAAGAACAAACAUCAAAUUUAUGCUGAGUUUGGCUGCAAGAAUGGUGAAAUCAUUGAUACUUUACAAGACACUAAUCAGGACAGUGCCCCAAAGGAAUCAGCAGUUUACAAAUGGAUAUAACCUGUUUUCAGAAGAGACAAGAUUAAUUUGAAGAUGAAGCAGUGGCGGACCAUCCAUGUCAAUUUAUGAGAAAAAAAUUCAUUCUGUUCAUGCCCUAACUGAAGAGGACUGACAACAGCACAAACAAUAGCCAACAUCAUAGACAUCUCAACUGGUUCAGCUUACUCAAUUCUGACUGAAAGUUAAAGUUGAGCAAACUUUCCACUCAAUGAGUGUCGAAACCCUCAUGCCCAGAUCAGCUGCAGACAAGAGCAGAGGUUUCAAUGGAAAUUUUAAACAAGUGAGAUUAAGAUCCUGAAGCAUUUCUUGAAAGAAUUGUAACAGGAGAUAAACCAUGGCUUCACCAGUACAAUACUGAAGACUAAGCACAAUCAAAGCAAUGGCUACCAAGAGGCCGAAGUGGUCCCAUUAAGGCGAAAGUGGACCAGUCAAGAGCAAAGGUCAUGGCAACAGUGUUUUGGGAUGCCAAGACAUUUUGCUCGUUGACUUUCUGGAGGGCCAAAGUGCAGUAAUGUCUGUUUAUUAUGUUUUGAGAAAGUUGGCCAAACCUUUAGUAGAAAAAUGCCCAGGAGAACUUCACUAGAGUGACCUUCGUUCAAUUUCAGAUCACCACAAUAAAGCAAAAAAUUGCAAUUAUAAAUUUUUUGGUUUCCCAGUACAUGUAAAAGUUAUAAUUACACUAUACUAUAGUCUAUUAAGGGUGCAAUAGCAUUAUGUCUGAAAAAAACAAUGGUCAUGCCUUAAUUUAAAAAUACUUUAUUACUAAAAAAUGCUAGCAAUCAUCUGAACCUUCAGUGAGUCAUAAUAUUUUUGCUAGUGGAGGGCCUUGCCUGGAUGUUGAUGGCUGCUGACUGAUCAGGAUGGUGGUUGCUGAAGGUUAGGGUGGCUGCAGCAAUUUCUUAACAUAAGACAACAGUGAAGUUUCCUGCAUUGAUUGACUCUUCCUUUCAUGAAAUAUUUCUCUAUAGCAUGUAAUGCUGUUUGAUAGCAUUUUACCCACAGUAGAAUUUAUUUCAGAAUUGAAGUCAGUCCUCUUAAACCCUGUCACUUCUUUAUUAACUAAGUUCACGCAAUAUUCUAAAUCCUUUGUUGUCAUUUCAACAAUGUUCACAACAUCUUCACCAGGGAUAGAUUCUGUCUCAAGAAACCACUUUCUUUGUUCAUUCGUAAGAAGCAACCCCUCAUCUGUUCAAGUUUUCUCAUGAGAUUGGAGCAAUUCAGUCACAUUUUCAGGCUGCAUUUUUAAUUCUAGUUCUCUUGCUAUUUCUACCACAUCUGCAGUUACUUCCUUCACUGAAGGCUUGAACCCCUCAAAGUCACCCAUGAGGGUUGGAAUCAACUUCUUCCAAAUUCCUGUUAAUGUUGAUGUUUUGACCUCCUCUCAUGAAUGAUGAAUGUUUUUAAUGACAUCUAAAAUGGUCAGUCCUUUCCAGAAGGUUUUCAAUUUACUUUGCCCCAAUCCAUCAGAGGAAUCACUGUCUAUGGCAACUGUAGGCUUAUAAAAGGUAUUUCUUAAAUAAUAUGUCUUGAAAGUCUAAAUGACUCCUUGAUCCAUAAGCUGCAGAAUGGGUGUUGUGUUAGCAAGCAUGAAAACAACAUUCAUCUUGUGCCUCUCCAUCUGAGCUCUUCUAUGACCAGGUGCCUUGUUGAUGAGCAGUAAUAUUUUGAAAGAAAUCUUUUUUCCUGAGCAGUGGGUCUCAACAAUGGGCUUAAAAUGUUCAUUAAGCCAUGCUGUAAACAGAUGUGCUAUCAUCCAGGCUUUGAUGUUCCUUAUACAGAGUACAGGCACAGGCAGAGUAGAUUUAGUAUAAUUCUUAAGGGCCCUUGGAUUUUCAGAAUGGUAAGUGAACAUUGGUGUGAACUUAAGGUCACCAGCUGCAUUAGCCCCUAACAAGAGAGUCAGCCUGUCCUUUGAAGCUUUGAAGCUAGGCAUUGACUUCUCUCUAGCUAUGAAAGUCCUAGAUGACAUCUUCUGAUUUAAGGCUGUUUUGUCUACAUUGAAAGUCUAUUAUUUAGUGUAGCCACCUUCAUCAAUUAUCUUAGUAAGGUCUUCUGGAUAACUUGCUGCAGCUUCUACAUCAGCAUUUACUGCUUCACCUCGCACUUUUAUGUUAUGGAGAUGGCUUCAUUCCUUAAACCUCAUGAACCAACGAGCUUCAAACCUUUCUUCUGCAGCUUCCUCACCUCCCUCAGGCUUCAUAGAAUUUAAUAGAGUUAGGGCUUUGCUAUGGAUUAGGUUUUUGCUUAUGGGAGGAUUGUGGCUGGUUUAAUCUUCUAUCCAGACUACUACAACUUUCCCCAUAUCAAAAAUAAGGCACUUUCAUUUUUUGAUCAUUUGUUCACUGGAGUGACACUUACUUUUAAUUUCCUGAAAAUUUUCCUUUGCAUUUACAAUGUAGCUAACUAUUCAGUGGAAGAGGGCUAGUUUUUGACAUGCCUUCCUCAAUAUGCUUAAUAAUUUCUAGUUUUUGAUUUAAAGUGAGACACAUGUGACUCUUCCUUUCACUUGAAUGCCGAGAGGCCAUGCAGGGUUAUUAAUUAGCCUAAUUUCAAUAUUGUUAUUUAAGUUAUGGGGAGGCUUGAGGAGAGGGAGAGAGAGACAGGAGAAUGGCCGGUCAGUGGAGCAGUCAGAAUACACACAACAUAUAUUGAUUAACUUUCCUAUCUUAUAUGAGCACAGUUCUUGGCACUCCAAAACAAUUACAGUACUAACAUCAAAGAUCACUGAUCACAGAUCACCAUAACUGAUAUUAUAAUAAUGGAAAGUCUUGAAAUAUUGUGAAAAUUACCAAAAUGUGACAGAUACAACAUGAACAAAUGCUGUUGGAAGAAUGGCACUGAUAGAUUUGCCCAAUGCAGGGUUGCCACAAACUUUCAACUUGUAAAAAGAGCAGUAUCUGUGAAAGACGGUAAAGCAGAAAGCAAUAAAAUGAAGUGUGCCCAUGUAUACUAAUAAGACAUAGUUCAUUUUAUUAAUAAAGCACCUGUCAAUUUCAGUUGAGUAAUUUUUAUCAGGAAUGGGUUUUGAAUUUUGUUCAAGGCUUUUACAGCAUCUGUGGGAUAACUAUGUAUUGUUUCCCUGGAUCUAUAAAUACAUACAGGAUACUAAUGACUUUUCAAAUAUUGAACCAACUUUGCAUUCUUGGAAUAAAUCUCACUUGAUCAU